CAAAGGUUUGGUCCUGACUUUACUAUCAAUUGUACCCUAAUUUACACAUGCAAGUCUCCGCCUCCCCGUGAGAAUGCCCUUAAUGUCCUGUCCGGAAUUAAGGAGCAGGUAUCAGGCACAUUUAAUAGUUUACUAGCCCAUAACGCCUUGCUCAGCCACACCCCUACGGGUAUUCAGCAGUGAUAAAACUUAAGCCAUAAGUGAAAGCUUGACUUAGUUAAGGGAAAGAGGGCCGGUAAAACUCGUGCCAGCCACCGCGGUUAUACGAGAGGCUCAAAUUGAUGAAAAACGGCGUAAAGCGUGGUUAAGAAAAUAAGAGAAAAUACGGCCGAACAACUUCAAAGCAGUUAUACGCAUCCGAAGUCACGAAGAACAAUCACGAAAGUUGCCCUAAAAUCUCCGAUUCCACGAAAGCCAUAAAACAAACUGGGAUUAGAUACCCCACUAUG
rnacentral:rRNA from 1 species